CAGGCCUAACACAUGCAAGUCGAACGGGCUUCUUCGGAAGUCAGUGGCAGACGGGUGAGUAACACGUGGGAACGUGCCCUUCGGUUCGGAAUAACUCAGGGAAACUUGAGCUAAUACCGGAUACGCCCUUUUGGGGAAAGGUUUACCGCCGAAGGAUCGGCCCGCGUCUGAUUAGCUUGUUGGUGGGGUAACGGCCUACCAAGGCGACGAUCAGUAGCUGGUCUGAGGGGAUGAUCAGCCACACUGGGACUGAGACACGGCCCAGACUCCUACGGGAGGCAGCAGUGGGGAAUAUUGGACAAUGGGCGCAAGCCUGAUCCAGCCAUGCCGCGUGAGUGAUGAAGGCCUUAGGGUUGUAAAGCUCUUUUGUCCGGGACGAUAAUGACGGUACCGGAAGAAUAAGCCCCGGCUAACUUCGUGCCAGCAGCCGCGGUAAU
rnacentral:rRNA from 1 species